rnacentral:rRNA from 1 species
UACGUAGGGCGCAAGCGUUGUCCGGAAUUAUUGGGCGUAAAGGGCUCGUAGGCGGUUUGUCGCGUCGGGAGUGAAAUCCACUGGCUUAACUGGUGGCUUGCUUUCGAUACGGGCAGACUGGAGGUAUGCAGGGGAGAACGGAAUUCCUGGUGUAGCGGUGAAAUGCGCAGAUAUCAGGAGGAACACCGGUGGCGAAGGCGGUUCUCUGGGCAUUACCUGACGCUGAGGAGCGAAAGUGUGGGGAGCGAACAGG